rnacentral:lncRNA from 1 species
CCAUAGUGAGAAAGGAUUCAUUUCGCAACACCUACGGCUUCCACUAGAUGUCAACGAUCUUUAUAAAGUUGUUUGAAGCGUCUAUGAUAAACAGAGAGCAAAUUAGAAUCCAAGGAAGUUGACAUGUCAUCACUUCAUUUUUUUUGCGCCUGCGCAUAAAUCUGAGAAACGUGAGUUUUGUCUUCAUUGUUUAUCUAGACAUAAGGAUAGGUUGUGUGAAAAUAUUACUGAUGUUUAACGUUAAAAAUGGACCAAAAGAUUAAUGCUAAACAACAUUUGACAUGUUUGAACGAACAUAAAUAGAUUAUUUACUAGGUUUUUUUAGCUUUUCGGCGUGAUUUUACAGUCCCCCCACCACGUUUUGUGGGAGCAUAAUGAACGCUAAGUACUUGGUGUUAUUUGGACAUAAAUUAUGAACUUUGUCAAAAGAAACCACAUUUGUUCCGGACCUGGGAUGCCUUCCGGACCUGGGAUGCCUGCCUUCUGAUGGAGAUAAUCAAAGCAUUUCAGAGAAGAAAAAAAUCUGAAUUUCACGCUACUGUAAAAUGCUGUUUUUGGAUAUAAAUAUGAACUUGAUGGAACAAAAAAUGCAUGUAUUGUAUAACAUAAUGUCCUAGGAGUGUCAUCUGAUGGAGAUUGACAAA